UACGUAGGUGGCAAGCGUUGUCCGGAAUUACUGGGUGUAAAGCGCGUGUAGGCGGCAGACCAAGUCGGCGGUGAAAGCGCCCGGCUCAACUGGGCGAGGUCCGUGGAAACUGGUCAGCUGGAGGACGGUAGAGGCGAGUGGGAAUUCCCGGUGUAGUGGUGAAAUGCGUAGAGAUCGGGAGGAACACCUGUGGCGAAGGCGGCUCGCUGGGCCGGUCCUGACGCUGAGACGCGAAGGCGUGGGGAGCGAACGGG
rnacentral:rRNA from 1 species